UACGUAGGGUGCGAGCGUUAAUCGGAAUUACUGGGCGUAAAGCGUGCGCAGGCGGUUUUGCAAGUCAGAUGUGAAAUCCCCGGGCUCAACCUGGGAACUGCGUUUGAAACUGCAAGGCUAGAGUAUGGCAGAGGGGGGUAGAAUUCCACGUGUAGCAGUGAAAUGCGUAGAGAUGUGGAGGAAUACCGAUGGCGAAGGCAGCCCCCUGGGUCAAUACUGACGCUCAUGCACGAAAGCGUGGGGAGCAAACAGG
rnacentral:rRNA from 1 species